rnacentral:rRNA from 1 species
AGAGUUUGAUCCUGGCUCAGAACGAACGCUGGCGGCAGGCCUAACACAUGCAAGUCGAGCGCGCCCUUCGGGGUGAGCGGCGGACGGGUUAGUAACGCGUGGGAACGUGCCCAGAUCUAAGGAAUAGCCACUGGAAACGGUGAGUAAUACUUUAUACGCCCUUCGGGGGAAAGAUUUAUCGGAUUUGGAUCGGCCCGCGUUAGAUUAGGUAGUUGGUGGGGUAAUGGCCUACCAAGCCUACGAUCUAUAGCUGGUUUUAGAGGAUGAUCAGCAACACUGGGACUGAGACACGGCCCAGACUCCUACGGGAGGCAGCAGUGGGGAAUCUUGGACAAUGGGGGCAACCCUGAUCUAGCCAUGCCGCGUGAGUGAUGAAGGCCUUAGGGUCGUAAAGCUCUUUCGCCUGUGAUGAUAAUGACAGUAGCAGGUAAAGAAACCCCGGCUAACUCCGUGCCAGCAGCCGCGGUAAUACGGAGGGGGUUAGCGUUGUUCGGAAUUACUGGGCGUAAAGCGCGCGUAGGCGGAUUAGAAAGUUGGGGGUGAAAUCCCGGGGCUCAACCCCGGAACUGCCUCCAAAACUGCUAGUCUAGAGUUCGAGAGAGGUGAGUGGAAUUCCGAGUGUAGAGGUGAAAUUCGUAGAUAUUCGGAGGAACACCAGUGGCGAAGGCGGCUCACUGGCUCGAUACUGACGCUGAGGUGCGAAAGUGUGGGGAGCAAACAGGAUUAGAUACCCUGGUAGUCCACACCGUAAACGAUGAAUGCCAGUCGUCGGGUAGUAUACUAUUCGGUGACACACCUAACGGAUUAAGCAUUCCGCCUGGGGAGUACGGUCGCAAGAUUAAAACUCAAAGGAAUUGACGG